CCUGCCCCAUAAUGGGGGUCUCUGCUCAGGGGGGGGGUCCUGCUCCAUAGCAGAGGGUCCCCCUGACCCACAACUGGGGGUCUCUGCUGUGGGGGGGGGGGUCUCAGCCCCAUAACAGGGGGGUCCCAGCCCCAUAACAAAGGGUCCUGCCCCACGGUGCCCCCCCCUUUACCCCCCCCCGUGCACGGUGCCAAUAAAGAUGGUGAAACCUC